rnacentral:lncRNA from 13 species
CUCAAAACUUUCAUAAGUAAAACGAUCUUUCAGUGACGGAAUAACUGGAUGUGGUCUCUAUCUAGCAUUGAGUUUCUUGUUGGAACGAAUGGUUGUCGAAAAAGAAUGCGAUGUUUAUUUAGCGGUGCAAUCUGUCAAACGGUCAAGAAGAGAUUUUGUUUAUUCUCUGGAACAUCUGGAAUAUUUAUAUGAUGCUGUAGAAGCUGUGUUUUAGGAGUUUUUCAUAAGCUAUGCGAAUUUCUUGUAAAGCAAGAAUAAUCAAGCUAUAUUCUCGCAUACACAUACAGCAAUGCUUCGACAUAACAUCAUACACAAAUUAUGUGAAUAUUCAUAAUGAAAUCUCUUGCACUACGAAGAGGGUGAAACAAAGGUUGUCGAAGACUUUCUUCAAUAACUACAAAGAUGUAAUUGUACUACCGCGACAUUGAAAAUCAUAGUGAAGAAUCUUCCUGAGAAGAAAGUCCACCGUAAAAGAAAAUAACAAUGUUUUAGCUAUAUUUGAAUUAUUUUUUAAUGUUUAACAUUCUUUUUUCAUUAUAUAAUCAUAAUCAAUUAUUGAUAUCGUCUAUACUGAUUGUAUAAUUUACUGAAAUUAAAAAAAAGCAAUUACAUUUCUUAAUAUAAUGAUUCACACAAGAAUUGUUUGUGAAAUUCUUAAACAUGGAGCAAAAAUUUACUAAAUAAUUUAUCGUUUUUACUAAUCUUAAAAAAUAAUUUUAAGUCCAUAAAAAAGUUAUAAACGAACAAGACAAAUAUUGUAUUUCACAAAAGCAUAUAUGUAUAAACUGUAUGUAAAUUUUACAAACUUUUUUUACUGGCAAGCUUAAUUGUCGCUUCAAUAUUGGCAUCAUUGGAACGACUGUGUUUAAUACUUUUUCUCAUGCCGAGAAUGUUUUUGAUUAAUCAACUCUAGAACAUUUUCGAUUAGUACAUUUCAAUAGCGUUCGACAAAAUAAACGAUCACUCGCAAGCGAUAUUUGAAUAACAAGAAGACUAGUUUUUAUUGAAACUGAAAUCCCUACAAACUUUCCUGAAAAUCGUCUUCCAGCGAAAGGAAUGACAGAGAAUAAUGACA